UACGUAGGGUGCGAGCGUUAAUCGGAUUUACUGGGCGUAAAGCGUGCGCAGUCGGCCCGUUAAGACAGGUGUGAAAUCCCUGGGCUCAACCUAGGAAUUGCGCUUGUGACUGGCGGGCUCGAGUACGGUAGAGGGGGGUGGAAUUCCUGGUGUAGCAGUGAAAUGCGUAGAGAUCAGGAGGAACACCGAUGGCGAAGGCAGCCCCCUGGGCCUGUACUGACGCUCAUGCACGAAAGCGUGGGGAGCAAACAGG
rnacentral:rRNA from 1 species